CCCUAUUAUUGAAAAUGUAAAUAUAAAUGCUUGAGUAUUAGUAGCUAUGUUCUUGAAAUUUAAAGGAUUUGGCGGUAUUAUAGUCUAUUCAGAGGAACCUGUCCUAUAAUUGAUGAUCCACGAUUAAUCUUACUUGUUUUAAAGGUUUGUAUAUCGUCGUAGGUUGAAUGUUUUGAAAGGAAGAGGAAUAUUCAAGAUAUUAGGUUAAAGAGGAAAUCAGAUCAAGAUACAGCGGAUAGACAAGGAGAGAUGGGUUCCAAUAAAUUUAUUUAUAUGGUUGAAAUAGUUAAUCCUAUUUUUUAAGUUGGAUUUGAUUUUAAUUUAGUUUGUUUAAACUAUUUGAUUGAAGCUCUAUAAUAUGCACAUAUCGCCCGUCGCUCCUGCUCUAAAGCAGGAUAAGU
rnacentral:rRNA from 1 species